NNNNUACUCCCUCCGUCCCAAAAUUCUUGGCUUAGUUUUGUCUAUAAAUGAGUGUAUCUAAAUACUACAGCGUGACUAGAUACAUUGAUAUCUAAAAACAUUUAAGACAAGAAUUUUGGGACGGAGGGAGUAAUAA
rfam:Hordeum vulgare subsp. vulgare, WGS project CAJW01000000 data, contig: morex_contig_389100